rnacentral:rRNA from 1 species
UGUAGGGUGCAAGCGUUAAUCGGAAUUACUGGGCGUAAAGCGUGCGCAGGCGGUGAUGUAAGACAGUUGUGAAAUCCCCGGGCUCAACCUGGGAACUGCAUCUGUGACUGCAUCGCUGGAGUACGGCAGAGGGGGAUGGAAUUCCGCGUGUAGCAGUGAAAUGCGUAGAUAUGCGGAGGAACACCGAUGGCGAAGGCAAUCCCCUGGGCCUGUACUGACGCUCAUGCACGAAAGCGUGGGGAG